UACGGGGGGGCAAGCGUUGGUUCGGAAUUACUGGGCGUAAAGGGCUCGUAGGCGGCCAACUAAGUCAGACGUGAAAUCCCUAGGCUCAACCUAGGAACUGCGUCUGAUACUGGAUGGCUAGAGUCCGGAAGAGGAGAGUGGAAUUCCUGGUGUAGCGGUGAAAUGCGCAGAUAUCAGGAAGAACACCAAUGGCGAAGGCAGCUCUCUGGGACGGUACUGACGCUGAGACGCGAAAGCGUGGGGAGCGAAACAGG
rnacentral:rRNA from 1 species